rnacentral:rRNA from 1 species
UACGUAGGGACCAAGCGUUGUUCGGAUUUACUGGGCGUAAAGGGCGCGUAGGCGGCAAUUCAAGUCAGCUGUGAAAUCUCCGAGCUUAACUCGGAACGGUCAGCUGAUACUGCUUUGCUAGAGUGCAGAAGGGGCAAUCGGAAUUCUUGGUGUAGCGGUGAAAUGCGUAGAUAUCAAGAGGAACACCUGAGGUGAAGACGGGUUGCUGGGCUGACACUGACGCUGAGACGCGAAGGCGUGGGGAGCGAACGGG